GACGAACGCUGGCGGCGUGCUUAACACAUGCAAGUCGAACGGAAAGGCCCUGCUUUUGUGGGGUGCUCGAGUGGCGAACGGGUGAGUAACACGUGAGUAACCUGCCCUUGACUUUGGGAUAACUUCAGAAAACUGGGGCUAAUACCGGAUAGGAGCUCCUGCUGCAUGGUGGGGGUUGGAAAGUUUCGGCGGUUGGGGAUGGACUCGCGGCUUAUCAGCUUGUUGGUGGGGUAGUGGCUUACCAAGGCUUUGACGGGUAGCCGGCCUGAGAGGGUGACCGGCCACAUUGGGACUGAGAUACGGCCCAGACUCCUACGGGAGGCAGCAGUGGGGAAUAUUGCACAAUGGGCGGAAGCCUGAUGCAGCAACGCCGCGUGCGGGAUGACGGCCUUCGGGUUGUAAACCGCUUUCGCCUGUGACGAAGCGUGAGUGACGGUAAUGGGUAAAGAAGCACCGGCUAACUACGUGCCAGCAGCCGCGGUGAUACGUAGGGUGCGAGCGUUGUCCGGAUUUAUUGGGCGUAAAGGGCUCGUAGGUGGUUGAUCGCGUCGGAAGUGUAAUCUUGGGGCUUAACCCUGAGCGUGCUUUCGAUACGGGUUGACUUGAGGAACGUAGGGGAGAAUGGAUUCCCUGGUGGAGCGGUGGAAUGCGCAGAUAUCAGGAGGAACACCAGUGGCGAAGGCGGUUCUCUGGGCCUUUCCUGACGCUGAGGAGCGAAAGCGUGGGGAGCGAACAGGCUUAGAUACCCUGGUAGUCCACGCUGUAAACGGUGGGUACUAGGUGUGGGGUCCAUUCCACGGGUUCCGUGCCGUAGCUAACGCUUUAAGUACCCCGCCUGGGGAGUACGGCCGCAAGGCUAAAACUCAAAGGAAUUGACGGGGCCCCGCACAAGCGGCGGAGCAUGCGGAUUAAUUCGAUGCAACGCGUAGAACCUUACCUGGGUUUGACAUGGAUCGGGAGUGCUCAGAGAUGGGUGUGCCUCUUUUGGGGUCGGUUCACAGGUGGUGCAUGGCUGUCGUCAGCUCGUGUCGUGAGAUGUUGGGUUAAGUCCCGCAACGAGCGCAACCCUUGUUCACUGUUGCCAGCACGUUAUGGUGGGGACUCAGUGGAGACCGCCGGGGUCAACUCGGAGGAAGGUGGGGAUGACGUCAAGUCAUCAUGCCCCUUAUGUCCAGGGCUUCACGCAUGCUACAAUGGCUGGUACAGAGAGUGGCGAGCCUGUGAGGGUGAGCGAAUCUCGGAAAGCCGGUCUCAGUUCGGAUUGGGGUCUGCAACUCGACCUCAUGAAGUCGGAGUCGCUAGUAAUCGCAGAUCAGCAACGCUGCGGUGAAUACGUUCCCGGG
rnacentral:rRNA from 1 species